rnacentral:rRNA from 1 species
GUAAGGGGCAGUAAUGUGUGGGUAUCUACCCUGGGGACUGGCAUAGCCCUUCGAGAGAAGGGGUAAUUCCAGAUGACGUCGUGAGACCAAAGGUCCGCCGCCCUGGGAGGAGCCCACAUGGUAUUAGGUAGUUGGUGGGGUAACGGCCUACCAAGCCUGAGAUGCCUAGCGGGUGUGAGAGCACGACCCGCGCCACUGGCACUGAGACACUGGCCAGACACCUACGGGUGGCUGCAGUCGAGGAUCUUCGGCAAUGAGCGCAAGCUUGACCGAGCGACGCCGCGUGGGCGACGAAGGCCUUCGGGUUGUAAAGCCCUGUCGAGGGGGAGAAAAGGCAACUUGAUCUAUCCCUGGAGGAAGCACGGGCUAAGUUCGUGCCAGCAGCCGCGGUAAGACGAACCGUGCGAACGUUGUUCGGAAUCACUGGGCUUAAAGGGCGCGUAGGCGGGCUGCCAAGUCUGUGGUGAAAUCCUUCGGCUUAACCGAAGAACUGCCGCGGAUACUGGCGGCCUCGAGGAAGGUAGGGGCAUGUGGAACUGUGCGUGGAGCGGUGAAAUGCGUUGAUAUGCACAGGAACUCCGGUGGCGAAGGCGGCGUGCUGGACCUUUUCUGACGCUGAGGCGCGAAAGCCAGGGGAGCAAACGGGAUUAGAUACCCCGGUAGUCCUGGCCCUAAACGAUGAGAACUAGAUAGUAGACUAGACAUGGGUUUACUGUCGAAGCAAAAGUGCUAAGUUCUCCGCCUGGGGAGUAUGGCCGCAAGGCUGAAACUCAAAGGAAUUGACGGAAUCGAAUU